CCUACGGGAGGCAGCAGUGAGGAAUAUUGGUCAAUGGACGAGAGUCUGAACCAGCCAAGUAGCGUGAAGGAUGACUGCCCUAUGGGUUGUAAACUUCUUUUAUAUGGGAAUAAAAUGUUCCACGUGUGGGAUUUUGUAUGUACCAUAUGAAUAAGGAUCGGCUAACUCCGUGCCAGCAGCCGCGGUAAUACUGAGGAUCCGAGCGUUAUCCGGAUUUAUUGGGUUUAAAGGGAGCGUAGGUGGAUUGUUAAGUCAGUUGUGAAAGUUUGCGGCUCAACCGUAAAAUUGCAGUUGAAACUGGCAGUCUUGAGUACAGUAGAGGUGGGCGGAAUUCGUGGUGUAGCGGUGAAAUGCUUAGAUAUCACGAAGAACUCCGAUUGCGAAGGCAGUUCACUGGACUGCAACUGACACUGAGGCUCGAAAGUGAGGGUAUCAAACAGGAUUAGAUACCCGAGUAGUC
rnacentral:rRNA from 1 species